rnacentral:rRNA from 1 species
GACGAACGCUGGCGGCGUGCUUAACACAUGCAAGUCGAACGGAAAGGCCCUGCUUUUGUGGGGUGCUCGAGUGGCGAACGGGUGAGUAACACGUGAGUAACCUGCCCUUGACUUUGGGAUAACUUCAGGAAACUGGGGCUAAUACCGGAUAGGAGCUCCUGCUGCAUGGUGGGGGUUGGAAAGUUUCGGCGGUUGGGGAUGGACUCGCGGCUUAUCAGCUUGUUGGUGGGGUAGUGGCUUACCAAGGCUUUGACGGGUAGCCGGCCUGAGAGGGUGACCGGCCAAAUUGGGAAUGAGAAACGGGCCCGAAUCCUUAGGGGGGGAGGCGGGGGGAAAAUUGCAAAAAGGGGGGAAGACCGAAGCAGGCAAGCCGGGGGGGGGAAGAAGGGCUUUGGGGUGGAAACCCCCUUCGCCUGUGAAGAAGGGGGAGGUAAGGGAAAGGGGAAAAAAACAACGGCUAAAUAAGUG